rnacentral:misc_RNA from 1 species
GAUGAAGAACGCAUCGAAAUGCGAUAAGUAAUGUGAAUUGCAGAAUUCAGUGAAUCAUCGAAUCUUUGAACGCACAUUGCGCCCGGCAGUACUCUGCCGGGCAUGCCUGUUCGAGCGUCAUUUCAACCCUCAAGCCCUGCUUGGUGUUGGGGUCCCACGGCCGCCGUGGGCCCUGAAAGGAAGUGGCGGGCUCGCUACAACUCCGAGCGUAGUAAUUCAUUAUCUCGCUUAGGGCGUUGGGCGGCGCUCCUGCCGUUAAAGAACCAUCUUUAACUCAAGGUUGACCUCGGAUCAGGUAGGAAUACCCGCUGAACUUAAGCAUAUCAAUAAGCGGAGGA